rnacentral:rRNA from 1 species
CUUUUUAAUCCAUAUCCACCUUGUGUGCAAUGUCAGUCGAUCUUCUUCAUGGAGAUCGACCAAACAUCAACCUUUAUUUUUUAACUCUUUGUCUGAAAAAUAUUAUGAAUAAACAAUUCAAAAUACAACUUUCAACAACGGAUCUCUUGGUUCUGGCAUCGAUGAAGAACGCAGCGAAAUGCGAUAAGUAGUGUGAAUUGCAGAAUUCAGUGAAUCAUCGAAUCUUUGAACGCACAUUGCGCCCCUUGGUAUUCCAUGGGGCAUGCUUGUUCGAGCGUCAUUUGUACCCUCAAGCUUUGCUUGGUGUUGGGUGUUUGUCCUUUUCUUUGCAAUUGGACUCGCCCUAAAUUCAUUGGCAGCUACAGUAGUAGUGGAAAGCGCAGCACAAUUUGCGCCUUUUGCUAGUAUUAUGGGCGUCCAUUAAGCACAAUUAACACUUUUGACCUCGGAUCAAGUAGGGAUACCCGCUGAACUUAAGCAUAUCAAUAAGCGGAGGAACAGGAUUUCNCAAGGGUCGGCAACGAUUCUUGUUAAACUCGAUCUCAAAUCAAGUAAGACUACCCGCUGAACUUAAGCAUAUCAAUAAGCGGAGGA